UUUACCAAAACAAAACGUCAAAACACGCUCCAGCACCACAAGCCACCGUCUUCAAUCUUCAGCCUUGAGACAAGGUGCCCUUGUCUCCACUCUUCUUCCAGCCCCGCCACAACCCUCGCCGGACAACAGAGCCACCGUCUUCUCCGCCUCUCUCAGUUUUUUUGGCCGAUUUUGAUACUUGGUAGUAUGCAAAGGGGAAUUCCAAGUUUUUUCCAAAGACAACCAUCAAAUAUUGAAUCAUCAUCUUCAAAUGGUAAACCAUUGAAAAUAGAUAUGGAUAAUCUUCCAUGGGAUCCUUCCGAGAGGAAGCCAAUUUCAUCUUAUCACCCUAGUCAAAAAGAUGAAAUUAGACGGACAUAUUUUCUUGUAUCGUAUUUUUAUUAUGUUAUGAACUUUACCCGACCCGAAUCGUCGAACCGUUCCGUAUUUUUUUUAUGUUCGGACACUUAGAAAAGUGAACCCCUUGAAAAAAAUUCCUGGAUCCGCCACUGACUAAGGGAUGCCCCGGGCUACGCUGCGGGUCUUAUGUUAGUAUCGGAUUGGUUUGUUACAGUA